rnacentral:rRNA from 1 species
CCCUUUGUUGUUAAAACUACCUUGUUGCUUUGGCGGGACCGCUCGGUCUCGAGCCGCUGGGGAUUCGUCCCAGGCGAGCGCCCGCCAGAGUUAAACCAAACUCUUGUUAUUAAACCGGUCGUCUGAGUUAAAAUUUUGAAUAAAUCAAAACUUUCAACAACGGAUCUCUUGGUUCUCGCAUCGAUGAAGAACGCAGCGAAAUGCGAUAAGUAAUGUGAAUUGCAGAAUUCAGUGAAUCAUCGAAUCUUUGAACGCACAUUGCGCCCCUUGGUAUUCCGAGGGGCAUGCCUGUUCGAGCGUCAUUACACCACUCAAGCUAUGCUUGGUAUUGGGUGCCGUCCCUCACUGGGCGCGCCUUAAAGACCUCGGCGAGGCCUCACCGGCUUUAGGCGUAGUAGAAUUUAUUCGAACGUCUGUCAAAGGAGAGGACUUCUGCCGACUGAAACCUUUUAUUUUUCUAGGUUGACCUCGGAUCAGGUAGG